GGGAGCUCUUCCCAUUUGACCUACGGGGUCACACUUUCUAUUUCCUGUGAAUGCCAACUAGGAGAAGGCAGUUGGGUAUCCUGAUGGAACCUCCAUGGCAACAAAAUGCUGUUUAAGAACGGUGUCAUCUUAUUCUCUUCAUACCUGCUGCUGCUCUUCACAGCCACAGGAAUAUGCAUGAGCCUCAGUGAAGAUCUCCUCGUGAGCCCGGAUGAAGAGAGAGACGAGAGAAGCAUCUUUGCCUGUUCUCCUUGUGGGCAGGGCUACUUACCAGAUGAGCGGGAGCAUCCUCUCACCAUGACCAGGACCAUCCCUUCACCAUGACCAGCAGCAUCCUCUCACCCUGACCAGGACCAUCCCCUCACCAUGACCAGGAGCAUCCCCUUCACCAUGACCAGGACCAUCCCUUCACCAUGACCAGGACCAUCCCUUCACCCUGACCAGGAACAGCCUCUCACCCUGCAGCCUGCUGAAAUUGCUCAAACUAUUUUUUUAAAGAUGUAAUUUUUAAAUUUAUUUAUUAUGUAUACAAUAUUCUGAUGGAGGUGGGUCUUGUAUCAAUUUCUGUCUGUGUGAAUGCCUGCAGGCCAGAAGAGGGCACCAGACCCCAUUACAGAUGGUUGUGAGCCACCAUGUGGUUGCUGGGAAUUGAACUCAGGACCUUUGGAAGAGCAGGCAAUGCGCUUAACCUUUGAGCCAUCUCUCCAGCCCCCUCGCUCAAACUAUUUAACCCUAAAGCUAUUUAAUCUGCUUAUCCACAGCACUGUCCCUUUCUAUAGAGACCCUGCAAAGGCUCUUGCUUGCCUUCUGUUUCUGACUCACCCUGGAGCCUUCUCGUAUGGCCCUCUGUGUGGGCUGUGUUUUUUUGUCCCCAGGAGUUAUAAAUUUAAACUUUGAUCUUUGUGACAUUCAUUUCUGUGCCUAGCGUUACAACUUAUUAAAACAAACCCUGUCUACAUUUACAAAUGAAAAAGAUACUUCUUAAAAGCCUCACCUUCAACAUUCUGGGGGAAAUACUCAGGAAAUAAACAAGGAAAUGGCAGACUUUUGAGCCACACUAUAAACAAAAUAGGCUUAAUGUAAAAAUAAUGGAAUAUUCUUUUAAAAAGUUUUAUUUUGGGUCUAGAGAAAUGGCUGAACAGUUAAGAGCACUAACUACUCUUCCAUAGGACCAGGUUUGAUUCCAAGCAUCCACAUGGUGGACAACAACCAUCUGGCUCUCCAGUUACAGGGGAUCUGAUGCACUUUCCUGGUCUCUGCAUUUGUGGUGCACAGACAUAUAUGCAGACAAAACACCC